rnacentral:rRNA from 1 species
UACGAAGGGGGCUAGCGUUGCUCGGAAUCACUGGGCGUAAAGCGCACGUAGGCGGCUUUUUAAGUCAGGGGUGAAAUCCUGGAGCUUAACUCCAGAACUGCCUUUGAUACUGGGAAGCUAGAGUCCGGAAGAGGUGAGUGGAACUGCGAGUGUAGAGGUGAAAUUCGUAGAUAUUCGCGAGAACACCAGUGGCGAAGGCGGCUCACUGGUCCGGUACUGACGCUGAGGUGCGAAAGCGUGGGGAGCAAACAGG